rnacentral:rRNA from 1 species
ACACCGGCGGCCCGAGUGGUGAUCGUGAUUAUUGGGUCUAAAGGGUCCGUAGCCGGUUUGGUCAGUCCUCCGGGAAAUCUGAUGGCUCAACCAUUAGGCUUUCGGGGGAUACUGCCAGGCUUGGAACCGGGAGAGGUAAGAGGUACUACAGGGGUAGGAGUGAAAUCUUGUAAUCCCUGUGAGACCACCUGUGGCGAAGGCGUCUUACCAGAACGGGUUCGACGGUGAGGGACGAAAGCUGGGGGCACGAACCGGAUUAGAUACCCGGGUAGUCCCAGCCGUAAACGAUGCUCGCUAGGUGUCAGGCAUGGCGCGACCGUGUCUGGUGCCGCAGGGAAGCCGUGAAGCGAGCCACCUGGGAAGUACGGCCGCAAGGCUGAA